GUUGUACGUUAGGUUUCAUUGCCGUUCACCUUAACCGGAUCCAGCGUGUAUCCACGUCACACAAACAACUCUCCCUCCGACCACGGGCCGGCCCGGACCGUUCGUCGCCGGAGUCUUCUUCCGGAAACUGCAGGUGGCUGAAAUGAUGGCAUCGCACCAGUGUUUUUUACGCAGGUGCCGAAGACGACAACUCUUUAAAAGGCUGAUGAGAAAGUUCCAGGCUUCUCUCAAUCCAACUCUAGCGCAUGGGGGGGGAUUCAGCUGAGCUUUUUCGUCAUGACAACCAAGUAAUGGCCACAAAGUAAACUGAAGAGAUGCAGAGUUCACGUGUCGAGGUAUCGAGGUAACUGCUCCACUGACAAAUCAACUUGUUUCAAAUCAGUUUAAACACAUGAUCUGAAUGCAGCGAAAGUUUGACAUGAGCACGCCUAAAUAUUAAAGAUAACAGCAAUAUCAUGCAAAAAAAGAGCCAUACAGUACCACCCCAAGUGCUCUCAUGUUUUACCCCAUUAUGCUCCACUUAGCAGUACGUACUGUAGAUCUUGCGAUCCUCAAGGUUCAAAAUAUUUGUCAGAGAUUUGUUACAAAUACUGUCUCAAAAAUAUUAACCGG